rnacentral:ncRNA from 1 species
ACCAAGGAGUCUAACAUGUGCGCGAGCCGCGGGGCAGUACGAAACCCGUAAGGCGAAAUGAAGGUGAACGCCGGCGCGGUCCGGCGGAGGUUGGAUCCCGUCCCGUCGGGGCGGGCGCACUACCGGCCGAUCUUCUCCGCCCUGUCGGCGAGGUCGAGCGAGAGCGUGCAAGUCGGGACCCGAAAGAUGGUGAACUAUGCCUGAGGAGGUUGAAGCCAGAGGAAACUCUGGUGGAGGACCGUAGCGAUUCUGACGUGCGAAUCGAUCGUCAAAUUUGGGUAUAGGGGCGAAAGACUAAUCGAACCGUCUAGUAGCUGGUUCCCUUCGAAGUUUCCCUCAGGAUAGCUGGCGCUCUGUCGCAGUUUUAUCUGGUAAAGCGAAUGAUUAGAGGUCUUGGGGGCGAAACGCCCUCAACCUAUUCUCAAACUUUAAAUUGGUAAGAAGCCCGACUCGCUCGUUUGGAGCCGGGCAUGGAAUGCGAGUGCCAAGUGGGCCACUCUUGGUAAGCAGGACUGGCGAUGCGGGAUGAACCGAACGCCGGGUUAAGGCGCCCGACGCGACGCUCAUCAGAGCCCACAAAAGGUGUUGGUUGAUAUAGACAGCAGGACGGUGGCCAUGGAAGUCGGAAACCGCUAAGGAGUGUGUAACAACUCACCUGCCGAAUCAAUCAGCCCUGAAAAUGGAUGGCGCUGGAGCGUCGGGCCUAUACCCGGCCGUCGC